AUUGAACGCUGGCGGCAGGCCUAACACAUGCAAGUCGAGCGAGCGGCGGACGGGUGAGUAAUGUAUGGGAAACUGCCUGAUGGAGGGGGAUAACUACUGGAAACGGUGGCUAAUACCGCAUACUAUCGGAUGAACCCAUAUGGGAUUAGCUAGUAGGUGGGGUAAAGGCUCACCUAGGCGACGAUCUCUCGCUGGUCUGAGAGGAUGACCGGCCACACUGGAACUGAGAAACGGCCCAGACUCCGACGGGAGGCAGAAGUGGGGAAUAUGGCACAAUGUGCGAAAGCCUGAUGCAGCCAUGCCGCGUGUAUGAAGAAGGCCUUAGGGUUGUAAAGUACGUUCAGCGGGGAGGCGUUACCCGCAGAAGAAGCACCGGCUAACUCCGUGCCAGCAGCCGCGGUAAUUC
rnacentral:rRNA from 1 species